UAACGUGUAAAGUUUGUGUGUUUUUGGUGAGGCUGUGUGUAUAUAUAGAUUGCGUGGUGGAGACGAUGGGACAAGAGUGAGAGAGAGAGCGAGCGAGCGAGCGAGUACAGAGAGAGAGAAGGGUUUUUGUUUAGUAGGGGUCAUUUCUUUUGUUUGUGUUUUUUUUUUUUUUUUGGUCAGGGUCGUGGUCAUUUCUGUAACCCAAGACCCAGUUGGUGGGGUCUCUGCGACUUUAAUUUACUUCGUCCUUUUUACCUUCCCCCAUCUCACUCCCAAGACUCGGCCUUUUUAUCCCUAUCCUUCCCUUCUCCUCACCUCUCGUACCACCCAUUUCAUUUCUCUCAUUCACCAUGAUCACACACACACCACUCCCCCCGCCCCUCUCUCUCUCUCUCUCUCUCUCUCUCUCUCUCUAGUUCAUCGUUAGGGCAAAGCGCUUUGUGAAAAUGGAGGCAGAUAGAUCGAAGAAGAGGAAGCAAAUUUGUUUUUUUGAGGGGAAUGUUGUCUGGCUCGAGGCCCCUUAACUAGAUCUAUGAUCUUCAUCUCAAUUGGUGACAAUUUUAUCCACCAAUCUUAAAAAAUUAUAGUCCCAGUUGAGAAAGAUCAUUGAUUCUACGUUUAGUGACGUCGGACCAGGCUUCAUUCCCCCCAAUUACCGCUUCCAAUCACUCAGAUCUUCACUACCCAUCUCAUAUUUUUACCCCGAUCAUCCAAAGAAAUUGUACAUGGGUUGUUGGGCAGGCAGAAGCAGAUUGGUGUAAUGAUGAAGGGUUUUGACUGCUAUUUUAUGUUUUUUUUUUCCAUUUAACUCUGACGAAUGUGGGGAAAGAUCAUGAUUACUCUUUUAUUUUUAUCUCUAAAUUUCAUGAAUAUGAGCAGCACCUAUGCAGGGUUGCGUUUUCUUUGUCAGUUUUUAACUCUUUCAACAGGUUUUCAUAUCAUUGGGCUGGUUUUUUUCCAUGAUGGCUUCAAGAAUCUUCUCUGUCUACUUCUGCUCUCUCUCUAAUCCCACCACACUAACUUUUAAUUGGCUUCUUUCUAUUUGGCUACGACAACCCUAAUUUUACUUUUGCAUUAUAGCACCAUAGCCUUCCCGUAGGGCUUCCACUUUUCACACUGCUAUUACUGUCUCUCUCUUGAUUGAAUAACGUUGUUCAGUCACCUUAAACAUUUUAAUUUAAGUUUCCUUCUGAUUAAUAUUUCUUAUACCGCAUAAUGCUGCAAAACAUGCGUUUGAUCUUUGUUCUUUUAAAUUUGCUUGUUUCGUUGUUAGCUGUAGUGGGUUUGGUGGAUUAAUUCAGCUUUAGAGCUUUGUAAUAUCCAGAGCUUUGUCUUGUUUCUACUUUAUCUUAAUCAUCCAUUAAUUAACAUUUAUUUGUCAGAUUAUAUUGGAUUUUUUUUCAGAUCGGAGUGAUCUUAAAGACCAGAUUCUUUCUUGAUUUUGUUAUUUUAUAUUUGUGUAUGUGUAUUCAGUUUGCUUUGAUGUUUUUACAGUAGCUGUGAAAGAUGUGGAUCACUCUGAUCAUAUCACGCAAAAUGUAAAGAAAGGAAUAAUAUAUCAAGGGUGACAGAUGUGAGUGAGAUGUAUGCCAAAGUUGUAUCUGCGAAGCAAUCCAGUUGCUAACACUGUUGAAAUUACCCUCUUUAAACUUUGAGUUGUCUUCAAACACAAUGUGAUUUUGACUGUGCUACCAGGAAGAAAAUGCCAUGUAAAAGAAUUAAAGGAAAAAAAUAUGUGAUAAAUUGGACCUAUCUGACUCUGGCUUGAUUCAGCACCCUAAAUUAACUCCUCUUGCUCAUAAGUUGUUAACUAGUAGCUUGAGUUUCAUACUUCAAUUGUCCUGGUGUUAUUAUACAUACAUACAAACUAUGAAUUAAUAAAAUUGUUUUUCUAGACCAUGAA